ACACAGGGACUUUCCAAUUAUCCAGCAAUGGUACUGUUCCUUUACCCUCUCUUCGAUUUUGAGAAAGUAGUCAUGUUGGGAGUCUGGCUCUCGAGAUUCAGAGGACGGUGCCUCUUCGAUUUUGGAGCAAGCAAUCUUGUUGGGAGUGUUUUCUCGAAUGUGAGUAAAGGUUGGGCAUGUUUGCUAGUCUACCUUGCCACGAAGCACAGAGGUUGACACACAGGGACUUUCCAAUUAUCCAGCAGUGGUACUGUUCCUUUACCCUUGUGGGUAAUAAUAUGGUAGCUAGACCUUCAAAAUUUAUGUGUCUAAACUUUGUUAGUGCUGUUUCUUUGCUAUUCUUUUACCUUUCUUGGUCAGAGCGAUGUAGUGGGAGCUGCAAGCUUCACGUGCUCAACUUUGGCAGAGAACUUUGACAAAGUUAUCUGUGGUACCCAUAAGCUAUUGUUGCGUGUGGGAAGUGGGUAAUUGAACAGUAAGAUUCAUGUGCUUUCUACUUCACCAGAAAUCUUCGACAGAAUGCCCAUAAUUUCUGCAAAGCUGAGUGUGCGUGUGACAGGUGCUGACAAGGCUAGAAAAGUAGGUGCCUCUUCGAUUUCUGAGAUCGGCCCUCGUGGUCUCUGAGCAGCCCAGCUUUUGAGAAAGCGAGCGCCUCUUCGAUUGAUUCGGAGAACGAUGCCUCAUCGAUUUUUGAGAAAACAAUCAUGCUGGGGGUUUGGCUCUCGAAGAUUCGGGGAGCAGUGUCUCUUCGAUUUUUGAGAAAGUAAUCAUGUUGGGAGUCUGGCUCUCGAGAUUCGGAAGGCGGUGCCUCUUCGAUUUUGGAGCAAGCAAUCUUGUUGGGAGUGUUUUCUCGAAUGUGAGUAAAGGUUGGGCAUGUUUGCUAGUCUACCUUGCCACGAAGCACAGAGGUUGACACACAGGGACUUUCCAAUUAUCCAGCAAUGGUACUGUUCCUUUACCCUCUCUUCGAUUUUUAAUAAAGUAGUCAUGUUGGGAGUCUGGCUCUCGAGAUUCGGAGGACGGUGCCUCUUCGAUUUUUGGAGCAAGCAAUCUUAUUGGGAGUGUUUUUCUCGAAUGUGAGUAAAGAUUGGGCAUGUUUGCUAGUCUACCUUGCCACGAAGCACAGAGGUUGACACACAGGGACUUUCCAAUUAUCCAGCAGUGGUACUGUUCCUUUACCCUUGUGGGUAAUAAUAUGGUAGCUAGACCUUCAAAAUUUAUGGGUCUAAACUUUGUUAGUGCUGUUUCUUUGCUAUUCU
rnacentral:lncRNA from 1 species